AGAGCGAACGCUGGCGGCAUGCCUAACACAUGCAAGUCGCACGAGAAAGCGGGAGCAAUCCUGCAAGUAAAGUGGCGUACGGGUGAGUAACACGUGAAUCAUCUACCUUCGAGUGUGGAAUAACUGAGAGAAAUCUUAGCUAAUACCGCAUAAUACUUACGAGUCAAAGCAGCAAUGCGCUUGAAGAGGAGUUCGCGGCAGAUUAGUUAGUUGGCGGGGUAAUGGCCCACCAAGACGAUGAUCUGUA
rnacentral:rRNA from 1 species